UACGAAGGGGGCUAGCGUUGCUCGGAAUCACUGGGCGUAAAGGGUGCGUAGGCGGGUUUUUAAGUCAGAGGUGAAAUCCUGGAGCUCAACUCCAGAACUGCCUUUGAUACUGGGAAUCUUGAGUAUGGAAGAGGUGAGUGGAACUGCGAGUGUAGAGGUGAAAUUCGUAGAUAUUCGCAAGAACACCAGUGGCGAAGGCGAGUCCCUGGACAACUUCUGACGCUGAGGCACGAAAGCUAGGGGAGCAAACAGG
rnacentral:rRNA from 1 species